UACAUGUGGGGCAAGCGUUGUUCGGAAUUACUGGGCAUAAAGGGUGCGUAGGCGGCUCAUUAAGUCAGGGGUGAAAGACGGUAGCUUAACUAUCGCAGUGCCUUUGAUACUGAUGGGCUUGAAUGUAGUUGAGGUAGGCGGAAUGUGACAAGUAGCGGUGAAAUGCAUAGAUAUGUCACAGAACACCAAUUGCGAAGGCAGCUUACUAAAGUAUGAUUGACGCUGAGGCACGAAAGCGUGGGGAUCAAACAGG
rnacentral:rRNA from 1 species